rnacentral:rRNA from 1 species
CUUUGCUGAUCGCACGGUCUUGCACCGGCGACGUAUCUUUCAAGUGUCUGCCUUAUCAACUGUCGAUGGUAGGUUAUGCGCCUACCAUGGUUGUAACGGGUAACGGGGAAUCAGGGUUCGAUUCCGGAGAGGGAGCCUGAGAAACGGCUACCACAUCCAAGGAAGGCAGCAGGCGCGCAAAUUACCCACUCCCGGCACGGGGAGGUAGUGACAAAAAAUAACGAUACGGAACUCAUACGAGGCUCCGUAAUCGGAAUGAGUACACUUUAAAUCCUUUAACGAGGAUCUAUUGGAGGGCAAGUCUGGUGCCAGCAGCCGCGGUAAUUCCAGCUCCAAUAGCGUAUAUUAAAGUUGUUGUGGUUAAAAAGCUCGUAGUUGGAUCUCGGUUUCGGGUGAAUGGUGCACCUUGCGGUGUUUACUAUUUAUUCGGACGAUUUUGUUGGUUCGUUCCUGGUUCUCUUAAUCGAGUGCCUUGAGUGGCCAACACGUUUACUUUGAAAAAAUUGGAGUGCUCAAAGCAGGCGCUACAGCCUGAACAUUAGUGCAUGGAAUAAUGGAAUAGGAUCUCGGUUCUAUUUCGUUGGCUUUCGGAGUCAGGUAAUGAUUAAUAGGGACAGACGGGGGCAUUCGUACUGCGACGUUAGAGGUGAAAUUCUUGGAUCGUCGCAAGACGAACUACUGCGAAAGCAUUUGCCAAGAAUGUUUUCAUUAAUCAAGAACGAAAGUUAGAGGUUCGAAGGCGAUCAGAUACCGCCCUAGUUCUAACCAUAAACGAUGUCGACCGGCAAUCUGCUCUCGUUAAAUUAAUGACUGAGCAGGCGGCCUGCUGGAAACAAGAGUAUUUGGAUUCCAGGGGGAGUAUGGUUGCAAAGCUGAAACUUAAAAGAAUUGACGGAAGGGCACCACCAGGAGUGGCGCCUGCGGCUUACUUUGACCCAACACGGGAAAUCUCACCAGGCCCGGACACCGGAAGGAUUGACAGAUUGAGAGCUCUUUCUUGAUUCGGUGGGUGGUGGUGCAUGGCCGUUCUUAGUUGGUGGAGCGAUUUGUCUGGUUAAUUCCGAUAACGAACGAGACUCUGGCCUACUAAAUAGACGUCAAAUCUUUUAUAGGUUUGUCGUAUGCUUCUUAGAGGGACGGGCGGCGUUUAGCCGCACGAGAAUGAGCAAUAACAGGUCUGUGAUGCCCUUAGAUGUUCUGGGCCGCACGCGCGCUACACUGAAGAAAUCAGCGUGUGUUCCUCAUCUGAAAGGAUUGGGUAACCCGUUGAACCUUCUUCGUGAUGGGGAUUGGGGAUUGCAAUUAUUCCCCAUGAACGAGGAAUUCCCAAUAGGCGCGAGUCAUUAGCUUGCGUCGAUUACGUCCCUGCCCUUUGUACACACCGCCCGUCGCUACUACCGAUCGAGUGAUUUAGUGAGGACUCCGGACUGGUCUCUGAUGUAACUCUCGGGUUGUGUUGGUGUACUAGAAAGUUGUCCAAACUUGAUUACCUAGAGGAAGUAAAAGUCGUAACAAGGUU